UCUAUUUAUAUCCUUCAUGUAUGAGCUUCGAGCUAAACCAGUUCCUCAUCUACAGACUAAGAACUUGCAGAACCAAGAUUUGACGAGCAGGUUGGCGAGGUUGGGUUGGGUGAGAAGACAUGGCGAGGGUAAGAUGGUUUUGCUCAAGACCGCGCAACACUUCCAUAUGACAUCGCAUCGCUGUGCUCAUCUAUCCAUCAGCAGAUACCGAUGGAGAAGGCAUGGAAAGAGCGGGCGAUAGGUUUGGACAGCGAUGCGUUGGUUUAUGGCCAGGCUGCGCGGUCCUGCGCAAGAUCCUCCCAUCACUCGAUCCAUCUUAUUCCUUCUUGUUGAUCGAUCUUCGAUCUUUAGCUCGCACUCCUGAAGGCUUUUUGCUUCACAGGUUCCUGCUGACCUCGGUGAAGGAAAGAAUAGAAGGAACCAAGGGAAGUUGCAAGCCUUCUUCUGCAGCAGCAAGCAUCAAGAAUCACAAAGGGAUGCAUAUCUCACAUCAAGAGAUCGUGACAUGUGAGUAGGGUUUCUGUCACCACCAGGUUUUCCCAGCUGACUAUGACAUCCAUCUUUUCGGUGGAGACGUAGCAGGAGCCGAGCUGGAACAGUAUGCGAUAGAGUAGACUGGCACACCAAAUGCCAGAGGGUCGACGAAGCACUGAUCUCAAGUUCCGCAGUGAUGGUGCAAGCUGAUACGACCAGGAUGCGCAUUCCUCCAUGGAUCUGACUGCAAAGAUUCCGGCAGUCUGCAGUGUCCGAUCCUUGUGCAGAUUCAUCUGCUGUUGCUUUGCUUAUUGUCCUCUUCGCUUCUGUCUCUCGUAAAGCUCGGUUUCACAGUAGUGAUAGCUGGUUGCCUAUGAAUCUGUGAUACAGUGAGGCCAAUCCUCACCUUCUCCAAUCUAUGAUGUUAAAUGGAAGGUGUAGUCAUGGUCUGUGUUGAGUUGAGGACUUGGGUAUUGUGAGCGAGAAUAUGGUAGAGAUAGAAGGGAGAUAUCAAUUAGAUUACUUUGAUAUCUGUGUGCUUAUUAUUAGCUAAACCAAUCUCUUGCAUUAAAAUAGUUUAAUCACUUGCAAUGAUGUAGUGCUUUGUUUGA